rnacentral:rRNA from 1 species
UUUCGGCUAGGGGGCCAUCCCGGCUUACCAACCCGAUGCAAACUGCGAAUACCGGAGAAUGUUAUCACGGGAGACACACGGCGGGUGCUAACGUCCGUCGUGAAGAGGGAAACAACCCAGACCGCCAGCUAAGGUCCCAAAGUCAUGGUUAAGUGGGAAACGAUGUGGGAAGGCCCAGACAGCCAGGAUGUUGGCUUAGAAGCAGCCAUCAUUUAAAGAAAGCGUAAUAGCUCACUGGUCGAGUCGGCCUGCGCGGAAGAUGUAACGGGGCUAAACCAUGCACCGAAGCUGCGGCAGCGACACUGUGUGUUGUUGGGUAGGGGAGCGUUCUGUAAGCCUGUGAAGGUGUGUCGUGAGGC